UACGUAGGAGACGAGCGUUGUCCGGAGUUACUGGGCGUAAAGGGUGCGCAGGUGGCGGCGCGCGUGGGGGGUGAAAUCGCCCGGCUUAACUGGGCGGGGGCCUUCCAGACGGCGUGGCUUGAGCAGCGGAGGGGGACGUGGAAUUCCGGGUGGAGCGGUGAAAUGCGUAGAGAUCGGGAGGAACACCAGAGGCGAAGGCGGCGACCUGGACAGGUACUGACACUCAACUACGAAAGCGUGGGGAGCAAACAGG
rnacentral:rRNA from 1 species